rnacentral:rRNA from 1 species
CUCUAUGGCCACACCACCCUGAAUGUGCCCGAUCGCAUCUGAUCUCGGAAGCUAAGCAGGGUCAGGACUGGUUAGUACUUGAAUGGGAGACCACAUGUCCAUCAGUGGAUGAGU